ACAAAUGUACUAUUUUUUUUUUACAUUUUUUAGAUCUUCAAAAAGAUAAAUAUUUUGAUAAUUUUUUAUGCACUAUUGGUAAUGUUAAUUUUUCAAAUGGCCUCAGUACGGCGAAUGAAUAUUGUUUCACAACAAUCAAAUUCCUUCACUCAUCAUUGCCAUUUUUUUCUUGUAUUGAGUUUUUUCGGAUAAUAUAAACUUUUCCCAUUAAGAUACUGCUUAGUAAGCAAUCAAAUAAAUAGGCCUACAUCAAAGAAACUUUUAUAUCUUUUAAAUGAGUAUAGGAAAUGGAUGGGAAAUAUUACAUGUAGUACCAGUAGCUUUUAUGUAGGAUGUGAGAUUUCAGAGAAACUACUACCAUGACAUAAAAAAAAAAUGCUUGACUAUGCUGCUCAACAAACUUCCAACUGAUCCUGUCUCACUGCACUGUGAUAUCUGGCCCUUUGCACCUAGUGCAUAAUGAAGCAUCACCCAAGGCUCUGCAUUUAUUGUAUUGGAAGUGUUACUAAAUUACAUCAAGGGGGCCAUAAGAAGAUUUCUCCCUUUCAGUUCCUUAUUAAUUGUUAGCAAUUAAAAAGUAAAUAAUAUUAAGGUUUAUCAAUAAGGCCCACAAGUAGUGAUAGAUUUAAACAUUACCUAUCAAUUUCAAAUUUUGUUUUAUUCUUAAAAUAUUU
rnacentral:sRNA from 1 species